rnacentral:rRNA from 1 species
UACGGAGGAUGCAAGCGUUAUCCGGAUUUAUUGGGUUUAAAGGGUGCGUAGGCGGGAAAAUAAGUCAGUGGUGAAAUCCUACAGCUUAACUGUAGAAUUGCCGUUGAUACUGUUUUUCUUGAGUAUGGUCAAGGAAGGCGGAAUGUGUAAUGUAGCGGUGAAAUGCUUAGAUAUUACACAGAACACCAAUUGCGAAGGCAGCUUUCUGGCCCAUUACUGACGCUGAGGCACGAAAGCGUGGGGAUCGAACAGGAUUAGAUACCCUGUA